AAACAUUUCUCUAUAUAACAAAGACGAAUAUGUGUUCAGUAAAACUUCCCAGUCAUUCAGAACGUUCUACAAUUUUAUCUCUGUCUUCAGGAAAAUGACUUUAGGCAUGGUAUGAAUGUUGGUAGAAAAAUAACAUUGGCAUAUUUUUUGUACUUUUGCUAUCUCUGGAGUAGGAGGCUUUCUCUAUGGAUGAACAUGGAGCAAACUCUUCCAUUAUUUGUUUUAAAAUUUCAUUAAUUCCAUUAAUUAAAAAAAAAUUACAUCCUGUAAAAAUUGUACCAAGAAAAUAGUCUUCCCAUUCUCUCAGAAGAAAAAAUACACAAAAUGUUCACUGCAGCAGUGUUUAUAACGGUAAAAAAGGCAACCAACAUAAAAGUUCGAUCAUAGAAUCAAGAAAAUCAUGUUAGACACUCUCUUUGGAAUAUACUAUAACCAUUAAAAUGAUAAAAUGUGAUGAACAUUGCAUAGUUACCUGAAAAAAAUAAUACAUCAGGUAGAAUUUAAAAAGCUGAAUGCAAAUUUUCAUCUAUAUUAACAUGACACACAUGUCUAAACAAGGUAUGUGUAUGCACGGGAACUGAAAACGAGCCAGGAAUAGUAAACAUAGAUAAGUUGUUGAGUGUGUGUGUGUGUGUGUGUGUGUGUGUGUGUAUGUAUAUAUAUAUAUGGUGUGUGUGUGUGUGUAUUUUAAAAGUUUCUGUUGCUACUGUUAUGAAAGUGUUUUAUUUGUUAAUGUAUUUUAAAGUUUCCAUGUAACCACAUUUCCCCUUACCAACUGCUUGUCAUAAUGGGCUAUAAUUAAUGCAUUGUUUUAUCCUAUUUAGCCUUUGGUGUUGAACUCCAGCAGUGUUCAUGGGCCGUUAAGUUUUAUGACUCUAUAAUGACAGAACAUCUUAAAGCCUAAGUGACCUUCAAAUGGCGAAAACAUUUGUUUAGAUUCUCUGCUAUUAAAGAAUAAAUAAUACAUCCAUUCACUCAAUAGGGGGAUUUACUUGGGCAAAUUAAACAUGUAAGAGAGAAUUAUCAGUAUGUUCAUCAUCUUCGAUAUCACAUAGAUGAAAUGGGUGC
rnacentral:lncRNA from 1 species